AACUAUAGAAGCAAGUGGGUGCUUGUGCUGGGGGAUGCCUAAGCAGACUGUUUCUAGACUGGAGAAGAGCUGCCAGGAGGGAUGCCUGUGGGUUAGGGGAAAGGUUGAACUGCUUUUUUGGGGAGGUCUGCUAAAGACUGUCAAUACAACCACUAAACAGUGCCCUGAACAGAUGCUAGGUGGGGUAUUAAUCCUUUCUGGGAUGGGGAGACAAGCCAUCAGACUACACACUGAGACUCUUUAAUAAGAUGAUGUUCCAUCCCAGAAACAAACAUUUCAAUGCAUUUGAACCUGGACCUAUACCUGCAACUGGAAAUAUGCUGAAUCCUAUCUUAAGCCUAAGACUGGGUACUGGAAACAUCAACAUACCACUUUUUUGGUAUGAUCAUCACCUCAUCUAGGCAGAGAUCAGAGCCAUCUUGCCUUCCCACUACAGGAGUGAGCAACCAAAACUAUUCCACCCCUGAAAAUUCCUGAAGUCCGUAGGAAAACAAGCCACCCAAACACAAGGCAGAAAGCUAGAAUGCAAGUGGCACAAAAAUCAUUCUGAACCCCUCUGGCAGCAGCACAAACAACACUCACAGAACUGCGUCACUGCAAUAAAGGAGGCAAAACAAGCCAUCCACUUUUCUGCAGUGAGUGCAACAGAACCACAACCAGCAGAGCUAAAUUUGCAGUGAACUGUCUAAUCAACCCAUAUGGCAUAGCCCAGACAUCAGACCCAGAACUGACCACUGUGAAGAGCUCUCAGCAUAUUCCACUGAUAAAAUCAAUCAAAUGUGUAUAGAGCUAACUGGGAAAAAAUAUUCUCUGGUCAGAGUGGAAUUAUUUUCCCCAUCACCUUUGACUUUGGCUCCAUCACUCAUGAAAAAGCUCAAGAAUUCCUAAGAAACAUUAGAGCCACAAUCUGUGAAAUGGAUCCUUAUCCAUCUGAAUAGAAAGUCAAGCCUCCUUCAGAGAAACAUCUACUAA